GGUGAACGCUAGCGGCAGGCUUAAUACAUGCAAGUCGAGGGGCAGCACGAAUAGCAAUAUUUGGUGGCGACCGGCAAACGGGUGCGGAACACGUACAGAACCUUCCUUCGAGCGGGGAAUAGCCCGAAGAAAUUCGGAUUAAUACCCCAUAGUAAAUUGAAAAGGCAUCUUUUUUAAUUUUAAAGAUUUAUCACUUGAAGAUGGCUGUGCGCCUGAUUAGGUAGUUGGCGGGGUAACGGCCCACCAAGCCUGCGAUCAGUAACUGGUGUGAGAGCACGACCAGUCACACGGGCACUGAGACACGGGGCCCGACUCCUACGGGAGGCAGCAGUAAGGAAUAUUGGUCAAUGGACGCAAGUCUGAACCAGCCAUGCCGCGUGGAGGAUGAAGGUCCUCU
rnacentral:rRNA from 1 species